rnacentral:tRNA from 1 species
GGGGAAGUAGCUCAGUGUUAAAGCACUUGCCUAGCAAGCAUGAGACACUGGGCUCCAUCCCCA